rnacentral:rRNA from 1 species
UACGUAGGGGGCAAGCGUUGUCCGGAAUCAUUGGGCGUAAAGCGCGUGUAGGCGGUUCGGUAAGUCCGCUGUGAAAGUCGGGGGCUCAACCCUCGGAUGCCGGUGGAUACUGUCGAGCUUGAGUACGGAAGAGGCGAAUGGAAUUCCUGGUGUAGCGGUGAAAUGCGCAGAUAUCAGGAGGAACACCAAUUGCGAAGGCAGCUCGCUGGGACGUUACUGACGCUGAGGAGCGAAAGCGUGGGGAGCAAACAGG